rnacentral:rRNA from 1 species
GUGGGGAAUAUUGGACAAUGGGCGCAAGCCUGAUCCAGCCAUGCCGCGUGAGUGAUGAAGGCCUUAGGGUUGUAAAGCUCUUUCAGUAGGGAAGAUAAUGACGGUACCUACAGAAGAAGCCCCGGCUAACUUCGUGCCAGCAGCCGCGGUAAUACGAAGGGGGCUAGCGUUGUUCGGAAUUACUGGGCGUAAAGCGCACGUAGGCGGACAUUUAAGUCAGGGGUGAAAUCCCAGAGCUCAACUCUGGAACUGCCUUUGAUACUGGGUGUCUUGAGUAUGGAAGAGGUAAGUGGAAUUCCGAGUGUAGAGGUGAAAUUCGUAGAUAUUCGGAGGAACACCAGUGGCGAAGGCGGCUUACUGGUCCAUUACUGACGCUGAGGUGCGAAAGCGUGGGGAGCAAACAGGAUUAGAAACCCGGGUAGUCC